rnacentral:rRNA from 1 species
GAGAAUGCCGGUGUGAGUAGCGAAAGACGGGUGAGAAUCCCGUCCACCGAUUGACUAAGGUUUCCAGAGGAAGGCUCGUCCGCUCUGGGUUAGUCGGGUCCUAAGCUGAGGCCGACAGGCGUAGGCGAUGGAUAACAGGUUGAUAUUCCUGUACCACCUAUAAUCGUUUUAAUCGAUGGGGGGACGCAGUAGGAUAGGCGAAGCGUGCGAUUGGAUUGCACGUCUAAGCAGUAAGGCUGAGUAUUAGGCAAAUCCGGUACUCGUUAAGGCUGAGCUGUGAUGGGGAGAAGACAUUGUGUCUUCGAGUCGUUGAUUUCACACUGCCGAGAAAAGCCUCUAGAUAGAAAAUAGGUGCCCGUACCGCAAACCGACACAGGUAGUCAAGAUGAGAAUUCUAAGGUGAGCGAGCGAACUCUCGUUAAGGAACUCGGCAAAAUGACCCCGUAACUUCGGGAGAAGGGGUGCUCUUUAGGGUUAACGCCCAGAAGAGCCGCAGUGAAUAGGCCCAAGCGACUGUUUAUCAAAAACACAGGUCUCUGCUAAACCGUAAGGUGAUGUAUAGGGGCUGACGCCUGCCCGGUGCUGGAAGGUUAAGAGGAGUGGUUAGCUUCUGCGAAGCUACGAAUCGAAGCCCCAGUAAACGGCGGCCGUAACUAUAACGGUCCUAAGGUAGCGAAAUUCCUUGUCGGGUAAGUUCCGACCCGCACGAAAGGCGUAACGAUUUGGGCACUGUCUCAACGAGAGACUCGGUGAAAUCAUAGUACCUGUGAAGAUGCAGGUUACCCGCGACAGGACGGAAAGACCCCGUGGAGCUUUACUGUAGCCUGAUAUUGAAAUUCGGCACAGCUUGUACAGGAUAGGUAGGAGCCUUUGAAACGUGAGCGCUAGCUUACGUGGAGGCGCUGGUGGGAUACUACCCU